rnacentral:rRNA from 1 species
UACGUAGGGUGCAAGCGUUAAUCGGAAUUACUGGGCGUAAAGCGUGCGCAGGCGGCUUUGCAAGACAGAUGUGAAAUCCCCGGGCUCAACCUGGGAAUUGCGAUGGUGACUGCAAGGCUAGAGUUUGGCAGAGGGGGGUAGAAUUCCACGUGUAGCAGUGAAAUGCGUAGAGAUGUGGAGGAACACCGAUGGCGAAGGCAGCCCCCUGGGUCAAAACUGACGCUCAUGCACGAAAGCGUGGGGAGCAAACAGG